rnacentral:sRNA from 1 species
ACUCAACGUUAAUUCUUUAAAAAGGGUAAGUUGAAGUUGUUAAAGCAUGCUGCUAGUGCUAGUUUAUUCUAGUAUCUCGGGCAGACCCUUGAUCAGCUUGUUAGCCCUAAACUUGUUUUUAAGGAGUUU